AUCUCAAAAUGGGGUCCAGAAGAUCUCAAAAUUCAGCGAAGGCAUCAUUGAGUGGGGUCAUGCAUAGCGUCAUCACAUGACACUUCUCACCUUUGAGUCCAGGGUGCUUACCAAAAUUCAGGCGAAUAGACCCUAUGCCGGAUAUCUCCUGCCACAUGGAGACCUGAGCAGCAACAGUCCUGGAUAUGUGGAAGCUACAAGAAGUUUCAAAGCAGUUCAAUUAAAAAUAUGUAUUUAAAAGGUGAGAGAAUAAAUGGAACCUCUAA